GAUCCUUAUGGCCUUCAUGAUUCUGAAAGCCAGAUGUAAAUCUACAAAGCACAAGGAAGCCUUCGGAGUAGAAGACUUUUACUGAUUCACAGUUUGGCUGUAAGGUGCUCAACUGAAUUGCUGAAGAGUUACAUUAGACAUUUCCUAGACCUUCAGGCUGGGAGGAAGCCUUUUGAUCAUCUAUUUGAUCACCUAUCCUGCAAAACCAGAAGUCCAAGAAAUCCACCCAUUACUCCUAAAGAAGAGGGAAUUAUUCUCCUUUACUAUCAAGCCCUGUAACUUGGGAUUGCAUUAGAAGCGGUGCCUUUUAGAUAGACAUCCAAACUUGAAUUCAAGACUCCAAGAAACGGGGAGCUCCCUGAUCUGUUGCAGCAAUUAAUUGUCCUUGUGAGUAUCAACCAGUGUCUUUAUUUGCACUUCAGGUUGGGCACUUGAAAUCAGUAUGACAUUUGGUAAGUUUGGGCCUUUCUUAUGCAUCUAAAAUGACACAUAGAAACAGAGUUAUAAAGAGGAUCAUAGAUACCCCAAGUCUCAUUGCCCUAUUCUAAGCAACAGACCAGAGUCCCCUCAUAAAACAAAAGGAUUUAUGAGUAGAUUAUACUGUAAUUUAGUUCAAAGUUUUCUCCAGUAAAAAAAAUCUUUC